AACUCUAUGUUACAAUGAUUGCACAGCCAUUAAGGAUCAAAUCAGUUUCUGAAAAAUGUUCUGUUUUUUCUCCCUCUGCUUGCUUCUUACUGUCUUUGAGGCUCGGGACCAGCACUCCUGUUGUUGGACAGAAAGACAUCAACUCAGUGACUUGAGAUAUGACUGCACUAUGCUGUUGCUGUGACUCCAGUUAAUUCUACAAGACAUGCUGUGACAACAGGAGAGAUGAGUCCUCCAUCACAGAUGGUGUGGUCAGUGAAGAUGGUCGCCUGCAGGUUCAAGCUCAUUGCAUCUCCAACCCACAUCCACUGCCACUGUACUUAAGGGAAGUUAAAGACUUUCUUCUGCACCUACAUUUGGAUCACCUCGAUCCAUGACAGUCAUUCAGGCAGUAAUGCCUGGACUGGAAACAAGCCAUCCUUAAAAUAAUACAACAUUCCAGCUCAUGUGUUGGAAUGAAAAACAAAUGUGUUGUUUA